AGUGAACGCUGGCGGUAGGCCUAACACAUGCAAGUCGAACGGCAGCACAGUAAGAGCUUGCUCUUACGGGUGGCGAGUGGCGGACGGGUGAGGAAUACAUCGGAAUCUACUUUUUCGUGGGGGAUAACGUAGGGAAACUUACGCUAAUACUGCAUACGACCUACGGGUGAAAGCAGGGGAUCUUCGGACCUUGCGCGAUUGAAUGAGCCGAUGUCGGAUUAGCUAGUUGGCGGGGUAAAGGCCCACCAAGGCGACGAUCCGUAGCUGGUCUGAGAGGAUGAUCAGCCACACUGGAACUGAGACACGGUCCAGACUCCUACGGGAGGCAGCAGUGGGGAAUAUUGGACAAUGGGCGCAAGCCUGAUCCAGCCAUACCGCGUGGGUGAAGAAGGCCUUCGGGUUGUAAAGCCCUUUUGUUGGGAAAGAAAAGCAGCAGGUUAAUACCCCGCUGUUCUGACGGUACCCAAAGAAUAAGCACCGGCUAACUUCGU
rnacentral:rRNA from 1 species